rnacentral:rRNA from 1 species
AACGAACGCUGGCGGCAUGCCUAACACAUGCAAGUCGAACGAUGCCUUCGGGCAUAGUGGCGCUCGGGUGCGUAACGCGUGGGAAGCUGCCUUUCGGUUCGGUAUACCUCAGGGAAACUUGAGCUAAUACCGGAUAACGUCGCAAGACCAAAGAUUUAUCACCGAAAGAUGAGCCCGCGUAGGGUUCGCUAGUUGGUGAGGUAAAGGCUCAUCAAGGCGACGAUCCUUAGCUGGUCUGAGAGGAUGAUCAGCCACACUUGGACUGAGACACGGCCCAGACUCCUACGGGAGGGAGCAGUGGGGAAUAUUGGACAAGGGGCGAAAGCCUGAUCAAGCAAUGCCGCGUGAGUGAUGAAGGCCGUAGGGUUGUAAAGCUCUUUUACCCGGGAAGAUAAUGACGGUACCGGGAGAAUAAGCCCCGGCUAACUCCGUG